rnacentral:rRNA from 1 species
CCCUUAGAUGUUCUGGGCCGCACGCGUGCUACACUGAGUAAUUCAAUGGGUAAGGGAACGCUAGAGCAUUACCUAAUCUUGAAAUUUGCUCGUGAUGGGGAUCGACGGUUGCAAUUUUCCGUCGUGAACGAGGAAUACCUUGUAGGCGCACGUCAUCAUCAUGCGCCGAAUACGUCCCUGCCCUUUGUACACACCGCCCGUCGCUCCUACCGAUUGAGUGAUCCGGUGAGGCUCUGGGACCUGGACGGAAAGAGCGUUUCGCUUGUUCUGUUUGGGAAACUUGGUCGAACCUUAUCAUUUAGAGGAAGGAGAAGUCGUAACA